AGAUGGCUGCCAGGGAGGGGGAGGGGUUCUAUCUCCAUAUAUGCUGCUGCCCAUCCAUAUAGCCCCUGCCCCCUGCACUGCAUAGUGCUUGUGUAACCAGGGAGUGGUGCUGAUCACAACAAGCAGAGACAGCAGAGACAGACACCUAUAAAGAGACAGACUGAGACACACACACACACAAGAGAUGGUGUGAUUAAUAAUUAGUGCUUGCCGCUAUGUGGCUCGCAAGAUUGCAGGUUCCAGGCAUGAGGAAGGCAAGGAGGAGAAGGGAGCAGCCAUCGGCUCUGGGGUGCCAUCAUGUGCCCUGCGCAAAGGUUGUAAGAAAGACAAGGCGGUAAAAUCUCAGCCAUCGACCUUUUCCACCCCGUUGACCUCAGACAUCGCAGGAGAGUCCCCAAAUUCACCUGCCACCUCGUCACGUGACCCUGUGCCCUAUUAAUAGCACCCCCUCUCAGUGAGGAAGAAGAGGAUGUAGGCUGUAUGUGGUCACUUUCCCCAGAUACAGGGCAGCGUAGUAGCAGAAUGAUCCUCCUCCCAGCAGCCUCUGAAGGAAAGAGGUUGGGAGGAGGUGAGAGAGGCCGCUGCUGUGUUUCUGAAUAAAGAUCUGUAAAAUGA